rnacentral:rRNA from 1 species
CCUACGUGUGGCAACAGUCGAGAAUCAUUCACAAUGGGGGAAACCCUGAUGGUGCGACGCCGCGUGGGGGAAUGAAGGUCUUCGGAUUGUAAACACUUGUCAUGUGGGAGCAAAUUAAAAAGAUAGUACCACAAGAGGAAGAGACGGCUAACUCUGUGCACGCCGGCGCGGUAAUACAGAGGUGUCAAGCGUUGUUCGGAAACACGGGGCGUAAAGCGAGAGUAGGCUGGUUUGUAAGUCGUGUGUGAAAGGCGCGGGCUCAACCCGCGGACGGCACAUGAUACUGCGAGACUAGAGUAAUGGAGGGGGAACCGGAAUUCUCGGUGUAGCAGUGAAAUGCGUAGAUAUCGGGAGGAACACUCGUGGCGAAGGCGGGUUCCUGGACAUUAACUGACGCUGAGGCACGAAGGCGAGGGGAGCGAAAGGGAUUAGAUACCCGGGUAGUC